GACUGCAUUGCUAUCGCGGAAUUGCAUUAACGUUCCACUUGUGUUGCAGUUAAGGUGUACUUAAGGCGAACUUUGUUGAGCGUGACACAAUCCUGCCGACAGUGAAAAUAGAUUAAAAAUUCCAUUACGGACAAAGAAAUCAGAAAGCAAUGGAAGACAGUUCAACGUCCAUAGACAACGUUCAAUAUGGCUGUGUUCGAGUAACGUAAAAAUGGAUCUUGAGUCAACGUAUCCUUGCGGCAUUUGUCUGGGAAAGUCUUCCCUCUUGUCCUAUUACUCGGGUCAAACAGUCGAUUACUUUUACUGCGCGGUCGUUCAUGCGAUACGACGAUUAUAGUGAUCCGUCGACCGUCAUUUACGACUAGUAAAUAUAAUUUUUUACGUGGAACAAAUAGGAUUGUCUCCCCAAGUACGACCAACAGCAAAAACUCCCUUCAUUUAACACGAGGUAAGGUUCCAUUCAAGCUGAAGAUUUCGGUUUCUGGGGUCACCGAUGAUCCUGUGGAUUUAAUACGUUGGAAAUCAUUCUCAGAGAUUUCUGAAAUACCUUUUUCAAAUACCUUUGACAAAUGAGAGGGAUUAUAUUCUGAGAAACUUCACGUUUUUGAAAUCUUUCGAUGAUUGGCUUUUAAAGUUUCAUCAAUUAUUGUCAUAGCAAGAAUAUGUUAUAUAUGCAACACCGACUGUUUCUCAUAAUUUUCGCCAAAGUGAAAUCACACAAAGUUUGUCACGUAUAAAAAAAAAAAAAGAAACAAUCAUUAAGUAUGAAAUUGUAGAAACUAA